rnacentral:rRNA from 1 species
CUGGAGGUAUCAGAAGUGCGAAUGCUGACAUAAGUAACGAUAAAGCGGGUGAAAAGCCCGCUCGCCGGAAGACCAAGGGUUCCUGUCCAACGUUAAUCGGGGCAGGGUGAGUCGACCCCUAAGGCGAGGCCGAAAGGCGUAGUCGAUGGGAAACAGGUUAAUAUUCCUGUACUUGGUGUUACUGCGAAGGGGGGACGGAGAAGGCUAUGUUGGCCGGGCGACGGUUGUCCCGGUUUAAGCGUGUAGGCUGGUUUUCCAGGCAAAUCCGGAAAAUCAAGGCUGAGGCGUGAUGACGAGGCACUACGGUGCUGAAGCAACAAAUGCCCUGCUUCCAGGAAAAGCCUCUAAGCAUCAGGUAACAUCAAAUCGUACCCCAAACCGACACAGGUGGUCAGGUAGAGAAUACCAAGGCGCUUGAGAGAACUCGGGUGAAGGAACUAGGCAAAAUGGUGCCGUAACUUCGGGAGAAGGCACGCUGAUAUGUAGGUGAGGUCCCUCGCGGAUGGAGCUGAAAUCAGUCGAAGAUACCAGCUGGCUGCAACUGUUUAUUAAAAACACAGCACUGUGCAAACACGAAAGUGGACGUAUACGGUGUGACGCCUGCCCGGUGCCGGAAGGUUAAUUGAUGGGGUCAGCGCAAGCGAAGCUCUUGAUCGAAGCCCCGGUAAACGGCGGCCGUAACUAUAACGGUCCUAAGGUAGCGAAAUUCCUUGUCGGGUAAGUUCCGACCUGCACGAAUGGCGUAAUGAUGGCCAGGCUGUCUCCACCCGAGACUCAGUGAAAUUGAACUCGCUGUGAAGAUGCAGUGUACCCGCGGCAAGACGGAAAGACCCCGUGAACCUUUACUAUAGCUUGACACUGAACAUUGAGCCUUGAUGUGUAGGAUAGGUGGGAGGCUUAGAAGUGUGGACGCCAGUCUGCAUGGAGCCGACCUUGAAAUACCACCCUUUAAUGUUUGAUGUUCUAACGUUGACCCGUAAUCCGGGUUGCGGACAGUGUCUGGUGGGUAGUUUGACUGGGGCGGUCUCCUCCUAAAGAGUAACGGAGGAGCACGAAGGUUGGCUAAUCCUGGUCGGACAUCAGGAGGUUAGUGCAAUGGCAUAAGCCAGCUUGACUGCGAGCGUGACGGCGCGAGCAGGUGCGAAAGCAGGUCAUAGUGAUCCGGUGGUUCUGAAUGGAAGGGCCAUCGCUCAACGGAUAAAAGGUACUCCGGGGAUAACAGGCUGAUACCGCCCAAGAGUUCAUAUCGACGGCGGUGUUUGGCACCUCGAUGUCGGCUCAUCACAUCCUGGGGCUGAAGUAGGUCCCAAGGGUAUGGCUGUUCGCCAUUUAAAGUGGUACGCGAGCUGGGUUUAGAACGUCGUGAGACAGUUCGGUCCCUAUCUGCCGUGGGCGCUGGAGAACUGAGGGGGGCUGCUCCUAGUACGAGAGGACCGGAGUGGACGCAUCACUGGUGUUCGGGUUGUCAUGCCAAUGGCACUGCCCGGUAGCUAAAUGCGGAAGAGAUAAGUGCUGAAAGCAUCUAAGCACGAAACUUGCC